UUAGGUCUGUGGCAGUCAUGACAUUUUGGCAUGGGUAGGAUUAGGUCUGUGGCAGUCAUGACAUUUUGGCAUGGGUAGGAUUAGGUCUGUGGCAGUCAUGACAUUUUGGCAUGGGUAGGAUUAGGUCUGUGGCAGUCAUGACAUUUUGGCAUGGGUAGGAUUAGGUCUGUGGCAGUCAUGACAUUUUGGCAUGGGUAGGAUUAGGUCUGUGGCAGUCAUGACAUUUUGGCAUGGGUAGGAUUAGGUCUGUGGCAGUCAUGACAUUUUGGCAUGGGUAGGAUUAGGUCUGUGGCAGUCAUGACAUUUUGGCAUGGGUAGGAUUAGGUCUGUGGCAGUCAUGACAUUUUGGCAUGGGUAGGAUUAGGUCUGUGGCAGUCAUGACAUUUUGGCAUGGGUAGGAUUAGGUCUGUGGCAGUCAUGACAUUUUGGCAUGGGUAGGAUUAGGUCUGUGGCAGUCAUGACAUUUUGGCAUGGGUAGGAUUAGGUCUGUGGCAGUCAUGACAUUUUGGCAUGGGUAGGAUUAGGUCUGUGGCAGUCAUGACAUUUUGGCAUGGGUAGGAUUAGGUCUGUGGCAGUCAUGACAUUUUGGCAUGGGUAGGAUUAGGUCUGUGGCAGUCAUGACAUUUUGGCAUGGGUAGGAUUAGGUCUGUGGCAGUCAUGACAUUUUGGCAUGGGUAGGAUUAGGUCUGUGGCAGUCAUGACAUUUUGGCAUGGGUAGGAUUAGGUCUGUGGCAGUCAUGACAUUUUGGCAUGGGUAGGAUUAGGUCUGUGGCAGUCAUGACAUUUUGGCAUGGGUAGGAUUAGGUCUGUGGCAGUCAUGACAUUUUGGCAUGGGUAGGAUUAGGUCUGUGGCAGUCAUGACAUUUUGGCAUGGGUAGGAUUAGGUCUGUGGCAGUCAUGACAUUUUGGCAUGGGUAGGAUUAGGUCUGUGGCAGUCAUG